GGCGGUAUUAAACGAUACUCUAUGGACAGAAAUCCGCUUACCUAUAGCGGUUUACCACAUACCUAAAGGCCUCGGCAUAUGACUGAAAAUCAUGGUGUCCCCGGUUCGAAUCCGGGUCCCGCCA
rnacentral:tRNA from 1 species